rnacentral:rRNA from 1 species
UACGUAGGGUGCAAGCGUUAAUCGGAAUUACUGGGCGUAAAGCGUGCGCAGGCGGUGAUGUAAGACAGGUGUGAAAUCCCCGGGCUUAACCUGGGAACUGCAUUUGUGACUGCAUUGCUUGAGUCCGGGAGAGGUGAGUGGAAUUCCCAGUGUAGCGGUGAAAUGCGUAGAUAUUGGGAGGAACACCAGUGGCGAAGGCGGCUCACUGGACCGGAACUGACGCUGAGGCGCGAAAGCGUGGGGAGCAAACAGG